GCCCUUGUUAGUGCCAGUGACUCGGUCCGUCUCAGCCUCGAUCUCCAGACGCACCUCCUCAAACUGGGGAAUCGCGGGCCAAAGUCACAUAGCAAGCAAGUUCAGCGGCCAGAUAAGGAAGCUGAGGCUCAGAGGUGUUCAGGCUGUGCAGUCAGUACCUAGCAGAGCGGACCCAGGACCCAGAUCUGUUUGACUCUGCAGUGUGCAAACUGAGGCGCAAGGCGGGAAAGACUGUUGUCCAAGAUCAUAGCGCAAGUUGGUAACUGGGCGCCAGGACCGGCACUCAGGGGUCUGGACUCUGAGUACGCACUCUCCCCUCAGCAACCAUUCUCCCUGCUAAAGAAAAUCUAUGAUCUUUCCUGCCUCCUUAUCAUUCCCUCCUUCUUCCCUUCCUUCCCUCCCUUCCUUCAAGUGUUGAUGACUUUCUAUUUUCAAGAUGGAAAUAGAUUUCUCUUUUGCCUCCUACUUAUAAAAGUCGUAUGUUCUCCCUCUGAAAACAUAUUCAGAAAAUACACAAAAAUGUUUAAAAAUAAAGAGCAACCAUCACCCCAAAACCUGGGGCUCUCCACUGUAAACAUUUUAUCAUUUACGAUAAAAAAUCGUGGCAAACACUGAUUGAUCGCGCGCCGCCGGCCAGGGGCUCUGCCAGGCACUUGGAAAUCUGCAUCAUCACGAGGCUUCUUUUUGGGGUGAUGGAAGCGUUUUAAAAUUAGAUUGUGAUGAUGGCUGCACAACUGUGUAAACACACUAAGAAACCAUUGAGCUGUGCACCACAAGCAGGUGAAUUUUAUGGCAUGCAAUUUAUGCCUCAAUAAA